rnacentral:misc_RNA from 1 species
AAGUCGUAACAAGGUUUCCGUAGGUGAACCUGCGGAAGGAUCAUUAUUGAAAUCAAAGGUCCGGGUUGUUGCUGGCCCUCCGGGGCAUGUGCACGCCUGCGAUCGCAUCCAUUUCAUCCCCGUGCACCUUUGCGUGGGUCUGUCGGCUUUGCGGCCUUCAGAUUCGCGUUUCUUAUAUACUCUUGUAUGUCUCAGAAUGUCUUACUUGCGUUAAUCGCAUCUUAUACAACUUUCAACAACGGAUCUCUUGGCUCUC